UUCAGUGAUGAUAAAUGCUGCAUAGGAAGUGCCGUCUGAUGCGAUAACUGACGAUCGCAAUCAUCUGAGA